UACGGGGGGGGCAAGCGUUGUUCGGAAUUACUGGGCGUAAAGGGCUCGUAGGUGGCCAACUAAGUCAGACGUGAAAUCCCUCGGCUUAACCGGGGAACUGCGUCUGAUACUGGAUGGCUUGAGUUCGGGAGAGGGAUGCGGAAUUCCAGGUGUAGCGGUGAAAUGCGUAGAUAUCUGGAGGAACGCCGGUGGCGAAGGCGGCAUCCUGGACCGACACUGACGCUGAGGAGCGAAAGCCAGGGGAGCAAACGGG
rnacentral:rRNA from 1 species